GGGGAUGUAGCUCAAGUGGUAGAGCGCUUGCUUUACAUGCGAGAGGCACUGGGUUCGAUUCCCCGCAUGUCCA
rnacentral:tRNA from 1 species